AGAGUUUGAUCCUGGCUCAGGAUGAACGCUAGCGGCAGGCUUAAUACAUGCAAGUCGUGGGGCAGCACAGUGUAGCAAUACAUGGGUGGCGACCGGCAAACGGGUGCGGAACACGUACGCAACCUUCCUUCAAGUGGGGAAUAGCCCAGGGAAACUUGGAUUAAUACCCCGUAAUAUUUCGGAGUGGCAUCACUUUGAUCUUAUAGCUACGGCGCUUGAAGAUGGGCGUGCGACUGAUUAGGUAGUUGGCGGGGUAACGGCCCACCAAGCCUGCGAUCAGUAACUGGUGUGAGAGCACGACCAGUCACACGGGCACUGAGACACGGGCCCGACUCCUACGGGAGGCAGCAGUAAGGAAUAUUGGUCAAUGGACGCAAGUCUGAACCAGCCAUGCCGCGUGGAGGAUGAAGGUCCUCUGGAUUGUAACUUCUUUUAUUUGGGAAGAAACCCACGGUUUCUACUGUGGUUGACGGUACCAGAUGAAUAAGCACCGGCUAACUCCGUGCCAGCAGCCGCGGUAAUACGGAGGGUGCAAGCGUUAUCCGGAUUCACUGGGUUUAAAGGGUGCGUAGGCGGGCAGGUAAGUCAGUGGUGAAAUCUCCGAGCUUAACUUGGAAACUGCCAUUGAUACUAUCUGUCUUGAAUACUGUGGAGGUAAGCGGAAUAUGUCAUGUAGCGGUGAAAUGCUUAGAUAUGACAUAGAACACCUAUUGCGAAGGCAGCUUGCUACACAGAAAUUGACGCUGAGGCACGAAAGCGUGGGGAUCAAACAGGAUUAGAUACCCUGGUAGUCCAA
rnacentral:rRNA from 1 species